CCCUCUUGUGUGCUUGGGCCUUCUGUAGCUUUAUUGCUGAGACCACGGUGGAAUUACCCCAAGGUAAAAUUUCAGACUCUUGAAGCCAAUGACCUGACAGAAAUGGGACUUCCUGAAAUGAAGUCAUCAAGGCUGUCCACAUCUGUGAUAACAUCUGGAGAAACUGUGCGUGCCUGCAAAUACAUGCAGCUUCUUCACAGGAGACUGUACACUGAUGUUAAUUGAGAAAGGAAAGCUUGGUGGGCCAGUUGGGAUGCUACACCAUAGAAAUUGUGAAUGCACCUCACUGUGGUUGAUGCUUCAGUUAUGAGCCUCUCAAGAUUUUUCUUGAAGAUUAAAGAGAUGUUCCAGAAAGCAAUUCAGCCCCUUACAGAUCUAAAGCAGCUUGGCCAUGAAUUUUUCUUCUGACUGCAGAGGAAAUCUAAACGUUUACAUUAGUGUUUAAAUUUAGGAUUGUGCUUUUAACUCGCUUCCUAUCCAUUUCCUCAUGUUUUGGCUUAUAUUGAACAGCCUUGGAGUGGUUUCGAGUGCACGUUACCUGCUGUGAUGGUAUCUGCAGAAGGCCAUGAUUAUGCUGCCUUCAGCGAUGGAUUAGUUAUUUAUCUCUUCCUAUGACUUUUGAAAUAUCACCAAACCAUCACCUGGCUUGUAACUGUA